UAUUGCGCAAUGGGCGAAAGCCUGACGCAGCGACGCCGCGUGGGGGAUGAAGGUCUUCGGAUUGUAAACCCCCUUCGGGAGGGAAGAUGGAAUGGGGUAACCCAUUCGGACGGUACCUCCAGAAGCAGCCACGGCUAACUUCGUGCCAGCAGCCGCGGUAAUACGAAGGUGGCAAGCGUUAUUCGGAUUUACUGGGCGUACAGGGAGCGUAGGCGGUUCGGUAAGCCCUCUGUGAAAUCUUCAGGCUUAACCUGGAAAAGUCGGAGGGGACUGCUGGGCUAGAGGACGGGAGAGGAGCGCGGAAUUCCCGGUGUAGCGGUGAAAUGCGUAGAGAUCGGGAGGAAGGCCGGUGGCGAAGGCGGCGCUCUGAGUCGUUUCUGACGCGAGGCCGAGG
rnacentral:rRNA from 1 species